rnacentral:rRNA from 1 species
GGCCGACAGGCGUAGUCGAUGGACAACGGGUUGAUAUUCCCGUACCGGCGCUGGGCGCCAAGCUGAAUCUCGCUGUACUAACCUCCCGCGGGUGGUGGCCUUCGGGUUGCUGCCGGUGGUUGGGAUCUUGGCGGGUAGUAGGCAA